UAACGAAUAUUCCGCAAUGGGCGAAAGCCUGACGGAGCAAUGCCGCGUGUGGGAUGAAGCGGUUUCGCCGUGUAAACCACUGUCAGGGAAUAGAAAAGAUGAUCAUUUCCAGAGGAAGGGGCGACUAACUCUGUGCCAGCAGUCGCGGUAAGACAGAGGCCCCGAGCGUUAGUCGGAAUUACUGGGCUUAAAGGGUGCGUAGGCGGGCGUGUAAGUGCCUUGUGAAAGCCCCGGGCUCAACCCGGGAACCGCAGGGCAUACUGCACGUCUUGAGGAAACUAGAGGCCGGCAGAACGAUCGGUGGAGCGGUGGAAUGCGUAGAGAUCGAUCGGAAUGCCAAGGGUGAAGACAGCCGGCUGGGGUUUUCCUGACGCUGAGGCACGAAAGCGUGGGGAUCAAACAGGAUUAGAUACCCGCGUAGUCC
rnacentral:rRNA from 1 species